GUGGUGGGGGGGCUUGAAGGUCCCAAUGAUGUACAGAGCUGUGCCGGCGGGGGCUUCGGCCCCUGGCAGGUUCUACCAUGCCGGAGUGGUCUGUACUGAGGGACUGGACUAAGAGUGCCCUGGUCUUCACUAUUUUGUAAAUUCCUGUUGAUACGUUUGUUGAUAUAUAAUAUAUGAUUGCAGGCUAGUGAAUACAGCAAUUACGCGAUUUAGCUGGAUAAUUAACAAGUCUGCAAAGUAGGCCUCCGUGGCGGCGAU